GGCUCAGUAGCUUUGUUGUUGAGGCACUUGUCUAGCGUGUGAGGGUCGUAAGUUCAAAUCUUACCAGAGCUG
rnacentral:tRNA from 1 species